GCAUCCCCGAAAACUUCAGUCGACAAACGGCCACCAGACUAUCUCAUCGUCAACAGCUCACACCAUGCGCUGAAGCUUGACGACGAAUCUUGUUUUCCUUGAUUGGUAGUCACCACUACCAGUUAUCAACUGUCGAUACAAAACAACAAACAUAAGAAAAGCAUUCGACUACACUGCGUCAACCCACAGAUUUGGUGAUAUCGGAGUUCACAAGAAUCUAAGAUUCAACAGUUCUCCAAGAUGAACAACCCGGAAAAGAACAACGUGCACUCUUAUUGGCUUACUUUCAAAAUGAUAUGUUUGACGUUCUGCGUGGUAAUAUUCAUGGCGAAGACUGCGACUGGCAUGUCUCAAAAUUUCACGACCAGCAUUAGCCACAAUGGGUCCCAAAAAAUCGUAUCAACGUUUCCAAUGAACGACUUAUUACCGUUCGCCGGUACUCCGAAUUCCAUUUACCAUGAAGCUAUAAAAACCUGCUCGAAAGUCACUGAAUUCGUGAUAAAUUUAUACAACGAAGAAUCUGAAUCAGUAAAAUCCCCGCCAUUGGUCGCCGCCGCUAUGAAUACGAAGAAAAACGAAGGGGUAAAAUUUAAGGGCACAUCAAUCUCAGUGAAUUUAACCAACCCACUGAAGUUCACAGUGUGUACUGACCACGUCAGUAUGUUACAAUUGGCCAAAUCCACUUUAUUAACUAAUCAAUCAACUCCACCGAUGAAUUUAGAUUUCAGCAUCAGUUAUACCGGUAAGAGGAAAACUCAAAUUAUGAAAACGGUUGCAUUCGAAUUCGCAAGUAUAUUAGUUAUGAUAUUCUAUGAACCACCAGAAUGUAUAUUAAUUGAUGAGUUAAGCUAUAAGAUCUUUUGGAGUAACAGUCAACAAGGAAUAAUCAAAGCAUACGACCCUAUAAAAAAUAUCAUAAAGACUUUGGUAAACUCAUUGACCAUGCCUAAAUCAAUGGUCAUUGAUUCAUCUGUUAAGUUACUGUUUUGGUGUAAUUUUGAGUUCAUAGGUAGUAUUGAACGCAUCAAUUUUAACGGGAACAACAGGAUGAAAAUUACUAAAGGAACAUACGAUUUACACUAUCCGGACACAUUGGGGAUAGACCACAAGAACCGAAUGUUAUUCUGGAUUGCGGACAAAGUAAUCCAUACAUCAGACUACAACGGAAAUUUUCACAAAACCAUAAAGAAAAGUGCAUCUUACAACCCUAAUAUGCCUAAAUGCAUCACUUUCACUAAUGCUGCCGAGUACAAUUUUUUUUGGGAAAAGCCACAAGUGCCUUAUUACAAGCGAUCUUUUGCGCCUAAUGAUUUACUGUCGAUCUCGUACCAAAAGAAUGCCGAGGAGGAGUAUGACGCUGAGAAACUUCCCACAGGGUACCGUGUGCAGAUAUUACAGCAAAAGAACUGGAUCACUUCGCACGUGUGUCAAAAGAUCCCGUCGGGUUAUCACUGCUUCCUCCCACCUAUACCAUUAAACAGAUACACCAAGGUCUGUCAACUGCUAAGCAAGUCCGGAUACAAGCCCAUGAAGCUGAGCGAAAUCAGCAAUUUUAACCCAAAACACAAAAAAUUGUUGUUAAAAGUCGAUUCGUUUUAUUUUAACUCAAAAUCACGUAAUGUGUAUUACUACGAUGCUGAGACAAAAAAUAUCCGAUUUAUUUCUAAUUUAGAAGAAAAUCCGAUAGAUAUUAUUAAAAAUGUAAGUGUACCGAUUAAUAGUUUCACGUACGAUGGGAUAAACAACACCAUAUAUUACGUCGACGAAUCGGAAAAUAGUAUAAUGAUGACAACGUUAGACAAUAAUAACUACCCAAGAACUACAGAAACUACGUUGAACUUUAGCCACAAUAGCAAUAUUGUGACGUCAUUGACUAUUGAUACACUACAUAACCGUUUUAUGUUAUUUUUAAUCGAGUCUAAGGAACUAUCGGCUGUAUAUAAUCAUAAGCUCUUCGCUGCAUAUAUUAUUAAUCAAUUGAAUACGGCUUUACCAGAUGUCAUAGUAAUGAAUCCAAUAAAUAAAAAACUGUAUUUAUUGAACAAUAAAAACAAAACGUUCAAAAAAUUUGACUUGAAUGAAACCAAUAAUACAAGAUCGCAGACUCCCUAUAUAUAUGCAUACCCUACACAAUAUAUGAACUAUAAAAACAAUGCUCAAAUAAUAGCAAUGAGAAGACAAGUUAUCAUCACAGCAUUUGAUCUGUUUGUCAGUACUUUAACAAUACAUUUUUUAUACUUCAAACAUGGCAUAUUUUUUUAAAAAAAAAUUGUCAUUUUAAACUCAAAACUUUGAAUCUACAACAUACUCAAUAUACAGAUAAAGUACACUUUUCAACCUGCACAAUUGAUUACCACAUGAAUUACUAGAACGCACAACCGCCAAUCAAAUCAAUAGUUGAAUAGAUUCAUGCCUUUAUAGUAUAAAACUCAAAUUCAAAAUGUACUGCAACGGCUUAAACUUACUCUAAUUCACCGUCAUAAUCCAGAAGUGGACUUCACCGACCAAAGUUGAUUAGCAUUGAUGGUUCUGUACUACAAUAUUACCUACAGUUUAUACUAUAAUUACUACUAAAAGUCGCAAAACAAAUUUUCAAUGGUAAAAUUAGGGAUGAGGAGGAGUACCAAAAUCCGUACCCCUCCUCUACUUAACUAUAUUUGAGUGUCCGUAUCAAUUUUAUUAGUAUUAAUGUACAAUGUACAUGUUGAUAAUAAUAAUUAACAUUAAUAUUCCUAGCCAGAUCGCGCGAUUGUAACACAGUCUGUAUCUACAUUUUACUUGUGUAUCAUGUUGCCGUAAUUUAUUUUAGACUUUCUAGAAGUUAUAUAAACUAUCAAAUUUCAAGGUUUCAAAAUCAAAUAUUAAGCUGUUUAUAAAGCAUUAAAGCAUAUUAUCAAAAGCGUUUUUAAUAGGCUUACCAAUCAUUCAACCAUACCCCAUGAAUAUUAUCUACAAAGUUAUAAAAAUAAAAAUGUUUUUUUUUUUUCAAACACUUGGUGUGUUCGUAAGUUAAUAUUAUGAACAUUUCAUAAAAAUAAAUACAAAAAACUGUUUAAAAAAAAAAAAAAAACUUAAACGUUACAUAAAAUAUAUUGAUAUAUGCCUGUUCAAAUCAUGACUACUCAAAAUAUAUUCGUUCUGACAGCGUUCUAUUAACAGAUAACACUUUUUAAUUAAAAGUUUUUGUUCGCCAAUUUUUCUAUACAAUUAUACACCAAUCGUAAGAUUAACCAAUAAUACUCAUUUCCCCCCACUUUCAUCCCAUAUAAUAGUACAUUUAUUCAAAUAAAAAAACACUUUGAUUGUUAUACCAUUAAAGGAGAAUUCUUUAGUGAAAAAAACUUACUUUUAUUCAAACGAGAAUCACUAUUUUUUGUUCUGUAAAUUAAAUAAUUCUUAUAAAUAUUUUUACUUAUUUAUAUUGAAAUUUAAAGGAGUAAUAUCUGAGUUAUUAAAUAUUAUAAACUAUAUAAGACUUAAAAUAAAAAGUCAAAUAGGUAAAAUAUAAUAUUUUAGUAUUUUAAAUGUUAUAUUAAAACAAUUAUACAAAUACAAAUUAAAAAAAUUUAAUUAAUUAAUUUAAAUCAAUAUUAUAAUAUCUACUAAUACUUUCGAUACUAAAAUAUUAAAAUAUCACAAAAUUCUAAAAUUUCAAAAAAGUAGUAUGUUUGAAAAUUUACGACAAAAAAAGGGGGUUCUCGUUUUAAAUUUAAUGAUUAUGUUAAUUUUGUACGUCGUCCGUCCAAAUUAAAACAUAAUUUAAUUAUAAAAUAUUAUAAUCACCCGUUUAAAAAACAGGGUCGACAGUAAAAGGCUCACACCAAAAAGUUUUCAGAUAUUUUAUUGAAACGAUUAAUAUAACAUUGUCGUUAAUAAUAAAAAAUUACAAAUUAAUAAUAAUUAAAUUAAUAAAAAAUCACAAGUCUGCAAAUCAACAAACUCAAAAUAUUAUAAAAAUAUACCUAUAAAUGGAUAAAAAUAUAAAAUUAACAUUUUUUGCGUUAGUUUGGUCAUAACGUUUUUGCGCAUUUAAAGUAAAAUAAUAUAACAACUAACAAAUAUCUUUAUAAUUAAUAUUAUAUUAUAUAAUUUAGAGCCGAUGCCGAUUGUCAAUUUAACCGUUUUCCCACACUCAAAUAAACUGCAACAUAAAACUUCAAAAAAAUCAUGAUACAUAAGUAUAUAAUAUGAUGAAACUUUUUACACAUUAAUUAUUAUUUUAACUAUUUUGCAUUAAAACUUAAAGUAUUUUGACAAAAUCACUAGUUGAUUGUGCGGAUAAUAAACUUUAAUUUAUCUUAUUUAUAUUUCAUUACAGUAAUUUAUCACAAUUGAAUUUCAAUUACAGUUUUCCUUAAUAUACUAGCAAUUAUUAAACUAAUAACUUAAUAUGAUUAUGUCAAUUAUGUUAUUCAAUUCGUAGCACAAUUUGAAGUCACUAUUACAAAUUGUUUUACGAAUAAGUCCCACACUUAUGAAAUUAUCAUAAAUUUAUAUGUUUCUAUUGGUAUCAGUAAAAUUAAUAAUUUCUUCAUCAGCCACCGUAUGGUAUGAAAACUAUUUUCAAACACACGUCGUAGAACAUUCUUACUUGAACAGUUAGUCUUAUUUGCUAUAAUAUACAUAAUGCUCAACUAAAUAUUCAUAAUGAUAUUAUGAUUAAAUGCUCAAAAACAUUAAAAAAUUAAGUAUAAAAAUAAUAAUUGGAGGUAUAUUAUAACAAUUUAUUAUUAUACAUUUCGCAUAUUUCCUUUAAACACAGUUAAAUGACUUAAAUGACUUUUGCGGUUAACAUUAACAUUCUCGAUAAAACAUAAAAAGAUAAAUUAUUAUUUUACAAUUAAUACAAUAUAAUGUAGAAUGAUGAAUAAAAACUGUCGAUACCUUUAGAGCUUAUAUAGCCAUAUAAACUUGUAUUUUCCCAAAUAAGUAAAAUUGAAAUUGCCGUGUUGUAAAAACGAAAAUAAUAUUAUAUAAAUAUUAGAAAAAUUUAUUUAAGCUGUUUUGCUUUAUAGUGUGUUAGAAAAUUUAAUGUCGAUUUUCGUUCUUAGUAGAGAUACUUAGUAUAGCGUUUAAUAGGUACUACACGUCUACUAUUUCUUGUUCGAAUAAGUAGUGAAAAAAGAGUGAAAAAUUAUGAAGUUUGAAUUUUAAUAGAAGUGUGUUUAACAUGAGUUUCUAUUAAACUUACGUAUUACGUAUAGUAUAGUUAUGUUAGAAACUAAAAUGGUUUCUUUUGAAUUGGUAGUCCUUGUCUAUUAGAAGUAGUAUUAACGUUGUGUGAAAUUAUUAUUUAUUAAUUUUGAUUUUGUUUUGUAUUAAUUGAGAGUUGAGAAAUCUCCUAUAAGGUAAUGAACACCAAAUAGAUUUUAUGUAAAUAUCUGAUAUACACGUCAAUCAUUCUACUUAUUCAGUGGUCGAAGCGGAGUGAUGUAACAUUUCCUCUUCUUUUAGAAGUUAUUCUCUUUAAAUUUACCCAUCUCUCUUAGAUUUUGGAAAAUGUAAUGUUUUCAUAAUUUUUAGAUCUUAUCAACAAUAUAUCGACUAAUUUAUUUCAUAUAAAUAUCUUCAUAUAUAAAUAUUUUAUUUAUUAAAAUUCUAAUAUUUCACAUCGAAAGUAAAGAAAAACAUUACUAGGUUGCCAAAAAUAUAACUUCACAGUCUCACAUUCUUAAAAUAAUAUAAUAUAAAAAUGUAAGUAAUUACUGAUCAAUAAUAACCAACAACUGUAAUAAAUAAUAGAACAAUAGAGAUAAUUACUGUUCCGGACCUUAUGAAAAAAACAAACUGUAGAAAAUAUUUUUUUUUCAUUGAAAGAAAAAUGAGGCUUCAACAUCUGAGAUUAUUAGCUCUGUGUACAUGUUACAUUGUAUGAGAUAUAUUAAUUAAUAAAUUUCAAAGGUUACAAUAUUCUUAAAAUAUGAAUACGCGAUAGAAAAGGAUUGUUUACAAUAUUAAUUUGUGUAAGAAAGUUUAAAAUGUUCAUGGUGUUGUAUUUAUGGAGAGCUUUUUCUAAGUUGUUGGGUAGGUAUUGAUAAGGUAUUUCGGAUGUUUUCAAGAUCUGGAUAGUCUAGAACGAUGUGUUGGAUGGUUAGGUCUUCAUGGCAUUUAUUAUCUAUGGGUGGUGGAUCUUUACCGGUUAAAAAUGAAUGGGCCAAAAAAGAAUGUCCGAUUCUCGCUCGGGCUAGAAUGACUUCUUGUUAUCUGUUUAAAAAAGAAAAUAACUAUAUUCUGCCCCCCGAUUAUUUUAAUCCACUUCGAUCAUUGAAAUAAUAUAAGAAUUGAAAAUGUGAGUAUUACAGGUCAAUAUAAAAUCAAUGGUUUAAAAAUAAUUGUAGAUUUUUUUUUUAGAGUUGAUUAUAAUAUUAUGUUGACAAAAUAAAACCUAGUAUUAUUAUCUAUUAAAUAUAUUUUUUGCUUUACAAUUAAGAAUUAUAUCAAAUAAAAAGUAAAUCGUUAGAUUUUUAUCGUUUUUAAUAAAUUGGCGGAACUUAAUUAAAAUUAAAAACGAUAACAUCCGAGAAUAAUAAUUAUACAAACUAAUUACAGUCAAUAAUAGAAAAAUUAAUGUUAAAUUUUUCAAAAAUGUCUGUUUAAUCUCAAUAAAAAAAUCUCUUAAAAUUGUAUUACACUGUAAAAUCGACAAGAUAUCUUUAUUCUUGGCAAAAAAAAUAUAUUAUUACUUAUUAAUCAUAGGAUGUAGAUUAUGAUAUAUUUAUCAAAUAGUAUAACCAUAUUAUAAUAGAUUUAAAAAUAUUUUAAAGAUUCGAUUUCGUACGAUAGAGUUAGUCUGAAAAUAUAUAUUAUUUAUUAUCGAAUUCCCAGAUUUCGAAAUAUCAAAAAUGUAUAUUAAAAGACUAGCUUAAUUUUGUGUUGGUUUCGGAGAAGGUGCUAAAACUUGAACUGUAUAAGUAUAGGUUAGGUGAUGUGAUAAAGAAUAAAGAAAAUGAAGUAAAUAUGCAAUUUGCUUCAUAUCUGUUGUGGAAUAUAAAAGACUGGAAAAAUAGAAGUAACGGAAAAAAGAAGGAACUUAAAACUAGACUAGACUAAAAUAAUACUUAUAGUAAGUUUAAUUUAUUAAAUUAUAAAACGAAAGUCUAAUUACUUUUUUCCGUUAUCGAUAGCGUUAAGAAUUUAUGAGUAUGAAUUAUAUUAAAUUAUAAAGAAAUAUUAUAUCCAUGUAGUUAAUUAAUUUAGAAUAUUAUUAAAUUUGUUGAUCGCUUCUAUAUUAUUAAUAUUUUUCAAAAAUUGUUACCAUAUGAAUGUUACCUUUAAAUGUGUUAUUUAUUGAGAUAUUUUAAAGACAUAUAAUAGAAGUUUAUUUAUUUUGUUCCAAAGAAAUAAUAAAAAUAUCCAAAGUUACAAAAAAUAAUUGAUUUUAUAACGAAAAAUUAAAUAUAUAUUAUACGGAUAUUAAGUGAUCAUGAAACAUCCGUACACGUUAUGGAAUUAAUCGUAAAAAUGCAUUUGUUACAAAAAAAAAAAUAUCUUUUACCGAAAUGAUUGUUAGCCGCACUAACAUAAUACAAACAACUAUACCGAAAACAAAUUGAUUUGUCAAAAACUUAUACCGUUUCUACGUUUAUUAUAAUUAUUGUAAAUUAGUACAAAUUCAAUUUAUAUAUAUUAUUAAUAUUUUAAACCAUUUAAAAAUACUAUUUAUGAAGCAUUAAAGUACAACAUAACUUAUGUAAGAUGUAACGGAUUACAAAUUGUAUUCAAAUGUUUUUUUUUUUUUAUGUCAUCUGUCAAGAGGAAAUAUUAUUUUCAACCAAUAUCUACCUCUUAUAUAAAUUAUAAAAAUAUGUAAAUCUGAUAAUAAAAUAGAAACAAUACCAAUAUCAGUACAAUUUUGAACUUCUUUUGUUUGGAAAAUCUUAUUAUAUAACUAUUCAUUAUUGUUACAUUUAAAAACGUAGUCUGUAUUAGUAAACUACAUAUUAUUAUAAUAUAAUCAUAUUCUAUAUGUUAAACUGAUUUCGUUCAGUACCUAUUCGUUUUUUAAUGUAUUCUGUGUGUUACCAAACCAGUUAAUUUAUUAAACAAAAUUUAAUUCAAUCUAAUGGAAUUUGUGUGUAACUAUUUUACAUUUGAAUUCAAAACCAUUUUAUUGUUAUUCAUGUUUGUGUGUGUUUAUAUGUCAAAAUACAAAAUAAAAUAGUUACGUUGCAGUACAAAAAUAAAAUGUUUAUUUAUUUAUAAAUUAUAAUAUCAAUAGUAGUACAGCAUGUCAAUGAUAAGUAAUAUUAUAAUGAAAAAUCAAAAGAAAACACUAAUGAAAAAAAAAGAAAAACAUAAAA